rnacentral:rRNA from 1 species
UACAGAGGUGGCAAGCGUUGUUCGGAAUUACUGGGCGUAAAGGGCGCGUAGGCGGCCUUCUAAGUCAGACGUGAAAUCCCCGGGCUUAACCUGGGAACUGCGCUUGUUACUGGCAGGCUGGAGUGUGGCAGAGGGGGGUGGAAUUCCACGUGUAGCAGUGAAAUGCGUAGAGAUGUGGAGGAACACCGAUGGCGAAGGCAGCCCCCUGGGCUAACACUGACGCUCAUGCACGAAAGCGUGGGGGGCAAACAGG